CGGGAUGGACGUACCUCUGGUGUACCAGUUGUCCUGCCAAGGGCAUGGCUGGGUAGCUAUGUGCGGAAUGGAUAAGCGCUGAAAGCAUCUAAGCGCGAAGCCAACUUCAAGAUAAGAUUUCCCACCGAAAGGGUAAGACCCCAGAAAGACUAUCUGGUUGAUAGGUCGAAGGUGUAAGUGCAGCAAUGUAUUUAGCUUAUCGAUACUAAUAGGUCGAGGACUUGACCAAU
rnacentral:rRNA from 1 species